UGCUUAACACAUGCAAGUCGAACGGUAGCAGGCCUUCGGGCGCUGACGAGUGGCGGACGGGUGAGUAAUGCAUAGGAAUCUGCCGAUUAGUGGGGGACAACGUGGGGAAACUCACGCUAAUACCGCAUACGCCCUACGGGGGAAAGCGGGGGACCUUCGGGCCUCGCGCUAAUCGAUGAGCCUAUGUUGGAUUAGCUAGUUGGUAGGGUAAAGGCCUACCAAGGCGACGAUCCAUAGCUGGUCUGAGAGGAUGAUCAGCCACACUGGGACUGAGACACGGCCCAGACUCCUACGGGAGGCAGCAGUGGGGAAUAUUGGACAAUGGGCGCAAGCCUGAUCCAGCAAUACCGCGUGUGUGAAGAAGGCCUGAGGGUUGUAAAGUC
rnacentral:rRNA from 1 species